GAUGAACGCUGGCGGUCUGCUUAACACAUGCAAGUCGAACGGGCUCUUCGGAGCUAGUGGCGGACGGGUGAGUAACGCGUGAGAAUCUGCCUUCAGGAGGGGGAUAACGACUGGAAACGGUCGCUAAUACCCCAUAUGCCUACGGGUGAAAUGUUUUUCGCCUGAAGAUGAGCUCGCGUCCGAUUAGCUAGUUGGUGAGGUAAGAGCUUACCAAGGCAACGAUCGGCAGCUGGUCUGAGAGGAUGAUCAGCCACACUGGGACUGAGACACGGCCCAGACUCCUACGGGAGGCAGCAGUGGGGAAUUUUCCGCAAUGGGCGCAAGCCUGACGGAGCAAGACCGCGUGCGGGAUGACGGCCUAAUGGUUGUAAACCGCUUUUCUCUGGGAAGAAGAUGACGGUACCAGAGGAAUAAGCCUCGGCUAACUCCGUGCCAGCAGCCGCGGUAAUACGGAGGAGGCAAGCGUUAUCCGGAAUUAUUGGGCGUAAAGCGUCCGUAGGUGGUUCAUCAAGUCAGAUGUUAAAGAGCGGAGCUCAACUCCGUCGGAGCGGUUGAAACUGGUGAACUAGAGUUUGGUAAGGGUCGAGGGAAUUCACAGUGUAGCGGUGAAAUGCGUAGAUAUUGGGAAGAACACCGGUGGCGAAAGCGCUCGGCUGGGCCACAACUGACACUGAGGGACGAAAGCUAAGGGAGCGACAGGGAUUAGAUACCCCUGAUGUCCAUACCGUAAAAGAUGG
rnacentral:rRNA from 1 species